rnacentral:rRNA from 1 species
GACCUCCAACCCUUUGCUUAUUAUACCUUGUGUUGCUUCGGUAGGUCUGGCUCCGUCCUACCGGAGGACCGUCAAAACGUCCUCUGGAGAGUGCCUACCGAUAGCCCAUACCAAAACUCUUGAACAAAACAUGUCUUGUCUGAGUACACCAAAAAAAUUAAAGCAAAACUUUCAACAACGGAUCUCUUGGGUUCUGGCAUCGAUGAAGAACGCAGCGAAAUGCGAUAAGUAAUGCGAAUUGCAGAAUUCCAGUGAGUCAUCGAAUCUUUGAACGCACAUUGCGCCCUUUGGUAUUCCGAAGGGCAUGCCUGUUCGAGCGUCAUUUUCACCCCUCAAGCCCCCGGCUUGGUGUUGGACGGUUUGGUUUAGGUACCCCUAGACCCCUCCUAAAGACAAUGACGGCGGCGGUUGAACCCCCGGUACACUGAGCUUCUUAACUGAGCACGUAUCGGAUCUAGGGUUUGGCGGCACCCGGUCUCUACCUUUUUGCUUACAAGGUUGACCUCGGAUCAGGUAGGAAUACCCGCUGAACUUAAGCAUAUCAAUAAGCGGAGGAAAAGAAACCAACAGGA